AUUGAACGCUGGCGGCGUGCUUUACACAUGCAAGUCGCGGGACCGGCGCACGGGUGAGUAACGCGUAUCCAACCUGCCCUUCACCACGGGAUAACCCGGCGAAAGUCGGACUAAUACCGUAUGGUGAAGGAUGGGGAUGCGUCCGAGUAGCUUGACGGCGGGGUAACGGCCCACCGUGGCUACGCUCGGGAGGGGUUCUGAGAGGAAGGUCCACCACACUGGAACUGGGACACGGGCCAGACUCCUACGGGAGGCAGCAGUGAGGAAUAUUGGUCAAUGGGCGUAAGCCGGAACCAGCCAAGUAGCGUGCAGGACGACGGCCUAUGGGUUGUAAACUGCUUUUAUGCGGGGAUAGGUACCGCAUGAAUAAGGACCGGCUAAUUCCGUGCCAGCAGCCGCGGUAAUUC
rnacentral:rRNA from 1 species